GACGAACGCUGGCGGCGUGCCUAAUACAUGCAAGUAGAACGCUGAAGGAGGAGCUUGCUUCUCUGGAUGAGUUGCGCACGGGUGAGUAACGCGUAGGUAACCUGCCUGGUAGCGGGGGAUAACUAUUGGAAACGAUAGCUAAUACCGCAUAAGAGUAUAUGUUGCAUGACAUUUGCUUAAAAGGUGCAAUUUCAUCACUACCAGAUGGACCUGCGUUGUAUUAGCUAGUUGGUGGUGUAACGGCUUAUCAAGGCGACGAUAUAUAGCCGACCUGGGAGGGUGAUCGGCCAAACUGGGACUGAGACACGGCCCAGACUCCUACGGGAGGCAGCAGUAGGGAAUCUUCGGCAAUGGACGGAAGGCUGAACGAGCAACGCCGCGUGAGUGAAGAAGGUUUUCGGAUCGUAAAGAUCUGUUGUAAGAGAAGAAAGAGUGUGAGAGUGGAAAGUUCACACUGUGACGGUAUCUUACCAGAAAGCGACGGCUAACUACGUG
rnacentral:rRNA from 1 species